GAAAGAGGAUCACACUGCUGCUCACCACGAUGGGACUCACGCACACUUUGGGACCAACUAAAAACAUUCAAGUACUUCAUCCUAAAGGUUUCGGCCUUUUUUAUUUUUGACAGAAAACAAUGUUGUUUGUCUAGCGCCAAGUUGGAUCUAACACCACGUACAAGGUAUGGAAGAUCUGCGGAAGCCGUAAAGAUGUUUUAUCUGCUCUGUGAAUUCUAUCCUUCAUUCCACCGGAGUCUGUGUAGCUGUCCAAUCAGAUUUCAGUGGUGUGAAGUGUAGGAGACAUGGAAAGAUCUCAUCACCUUCCACAACCUGCGAAGGCCUGUCUCGUGUUAACAGGCGGGAACAGCGCAGAUACGAGACGAAACACAUGUCAAGAGUACAUGUAGCUUAAAAAAGCAUGCUUGACUAGAUUUCAGUUGUAAUAUAAUUUGCCAUGUGCUUCAUGCUUGCACGGAUUCAUGCCGGUCGUGAAAGCUGUAUGCUAAACGCUGUGAAUGUUAAACCUCAGCUGUCCUAUUAUGCACUGAACGCUUUGAAGAUCAGCAUAUCUAAACAUCUAUGUAAAGCAAUGUACCUCACCCUGCCCUUUAGCGCACCGUAGCUCCGCAAAAAAACAUGGCAUGUUUGUUCAUUUGCUGUUGUGGAGAGCCAAGGCGGGCUAAGUACACACACAUACACGAGUAAGAUUCACAAAGCCUGCCAAGAUGUAUUUAUGUAUGCUGGUUCAGCCUGUAUUCUUUCAACCCACACUAAUAAACUCACUUUACAAAAUGUGUUUGUGUGAAUUGCUUAAUCCUGACAAUAAACGUAUAUAAUAAAACAA